rnacentral:ncRNA from 1 species
GUGUUAUAUGAAAGGAGAGACUCCUCUUGAGAAGGACGGAAGAGGUCCUAGUGACCUUUACAACACAUAUAUGGUUAAGGCAUUUCCACCUACUUGGUGACAUCUAACCAAGUAGCAUG